UGGGGGUGGAUGUGUCAUAGGGACUUGAUGAAGUUCCCUUUUUCAUCAGUUCUUUUAGGUGUGCCUUGUAUACUGUAUGGCUAUUUGGUGGGUGUUCUUGUAUUUUUCCCAUGUAUUUGGGUUGCAGUGCCUUUGUCGUCAGGUUCUUUUAAUAGUUUUCUUCCUGGUUAGAAAAACAGAUUUUAAAAUUGAUCAUAUGUUCAAUUUCAGGUCAAAGAAAAUUCUGCUGCUGCAGGGCCAAGCGCCUCAACAAGUGCUGUUGCUGAUUCUGAGGAAGCGCUUCCCGAUGAGGAUGAGGAGGAUGAUGAUGAGCUGGACAUGGAUGAGUUAAAUGAGCUCGAAGCCAGUUUGUCAAGAACAUCUAUUCAAAUUCGUGAGCCAGGUGUUGAGGCUUCAUCUUGAGCAUUUGAGAGAGAGAGAGAGAGAGGAGAGGAGUGAGAGAGAACUGGCAACUUGCAUGCAUUUUAAGAGGAAUUACCAAAACUGUCCGGCUAGCUAAUUAACAACUUCUAGGGGGAAUAAUCUGUGUUGUAAUUUGGGAUGAUGAUCUUUUCUGUCUUGUACUUUGUUGUGUUUGGUCUGGGAUUACGGCUAAAUAUUUGGUAUAAGGCGGCAUCCAUUUUUUGAUUCAGGCUUUGCCUUUGUUGUCAACAUCAGGUCCUCACCGAGCAUCAGUGCUCAGGAAUUACCUCCGCUUGACAUCUCUGUUAACUUAGGAUCUGGUUGGAUACAUUUUCUGAUUAUGUUUUAAAAAUAAAAAACUUGAAAAUUGAAAAUUUAAGGUAGUAGAAAUUUUUUGAUACCUCAAAUCUUUUUUAAAUCAUUAUUUUUUUUCAUGAUAUGAAGUAUAUGAAACUUAAUGACCCUUAUCUAUUCCCUUGAGCUGAUCUUACACGCAUAAUUUUAGUAGUCAAUGAUCUCAAGUAAGUCUGUUGAUGAUAGGGGGAAAAAUUGGGAGUUUUGGAAGGCACUGAACAUGUUUUCAAGGUCAGGAUUGUAAGCCAACCGAUAUAAUAAUAUUAUUUGGAGUUGGAUUCUUCAGUGUGCAUGGUGGUGCAGUUCUGUAUAUUUUGCUGCUAUGGGUCCUUUGGGGUUGGAUUGGAAUCUCAGUGAGAACUUUAAAACCAUGCAACCCCACUCACAAAGUGACGUCCACUUGUCAUCUCAUCAUAUAUGCCGUGAAAUUGUGUGCUUCUUUUCCUUUCUUUUACUUCUGGAUGGUUAUGUCAUAGAGAUGUGGUUUGCAG
rnacentral:lncRNA from 1 species